rnacentral:rRNA from 1 species
UACGUAGGGUGCAAGCGUUAAUCGGAAUUACUGGGCGUAAAGCGUGCGCAGGCGGCUUUGCAAGACAGAUGUGAAAUCCCUCGGCUUAACCGAGGAACUGCCAUCCAGACUGCUUUGCUUGAGGCCGGGAGAGGUGAGUGGAAUUCCCAGUGUAGCGGUGAAAUGCGUAGAUAUUGGGAGGAACACCAGUGGCGAAGGCGGCUCACUGGACCGGUUCUGACGCUGAGGCGCGAAAGCGUGGGGAGCAAACGGG